UUUUCCAGCUUUAUUUAUGUAUCUAGGGAACAAAGAAUAAAAAUUGUGGAUGACAGCGUAGCAAUGAGGAGAAUAUCGAGGAAGAUGGUGAGGUGAACAUCGAGGAAAGUGUCAAGGAAUGCAGUGAGAGGUGCAAGAGGUGCAAAGAGGAGAGCUACAAGGUUAGAGCAACAAGAGCAGCUAACAAAACGGCUAGCAGAGUAAUUAGAGAGCGAUGACGAGUGAAAUCCCACAACAUCCAGCAAGGGAAAAACAUUAUAAAGUUGAUGGAAUAAAAGGGCGUUAGCUAAUGUGCCUUCUCGUAAAAACUAUAGUCUAGUCCGUUUUUCUAUGGCCUGCCGAAAUAAUCCUCGAACCCUUCAUCUGUUGGAGGGAGCAGGCUAAAUUCCUGACUUAGGCAACGCCCGAAUGUCUCUCCCCCAUCACUUGACUGUCACGUGGAAAAAGCUUCGCAAGGUUGAUAGAAUAAAAGAACGUUAGAUUCCCUUUCUGUUAACGUGUUUUCCUGGAGAAGCUAUAAUCCAAUGGUUUUCCACGACCUAUCGAAAUAAUUUUUGAACCGUUGGACCGCUUGUAGAAUAAAUUCGUGACCACUAUUACUAGAUAAGUCUCAAGUGCUCUCUCGUUCAAACGUUCUGAGUAUGGUAUACAGCUGAUUUUAUAUUUAAACUGGACUACUUGGGUAAAAAAAAGAUAGUAAAGAAUAUUUGAUUUUCUCAUAUCACAUAAAGAAAAAAUCACGCAAAUAAUAAUAACAUUGUUUAAAUCUUUUGAAUGUUAAGUUCCUUUUCAACAAAUUUUCA